rnacentral:rRNA from 1 species
UACGUAGGGGGCUAGCGUUGUCCGGAAUCACUGGGCGUAAAGGGUGCGUAGGCGGGGCUUUAAGUCAGGGGUGAAAUCCUGGAGCUCAACUCCAGAACUGCCUUUGAUACUGAAGAUCUUGAGUUCGGGAGAGGUGAGUGGAACUGCGAGUGUAGAGGUGAAAUUCGUAGAUAUUCGCAAGAACACCAGUGGCGAAGGCGGCUCACUGGCCCGAUACUGACGCUGAGGCACGAAAGCGUGGGGAGCAAACAGG